rnacentral:tRNA from 1 species
UAGACUAAAGCCCGCUGGUUUGGGUAUUUGUUUGUUAACUAAAGGUUUACGGGAUCGAGGCCCGUUAGUCUAG